rnacentral:rRNA from 1 species
AAACUGAAGAGUUUGAUCAUGGCUCAGAUUGAACGCUGGCGGCAGGCCUAACACAUGCAAGUCGAGCGAGAAAUUUCCUUCGGGAAUGAGUAAAGCGGCGGACGGGUGAGUAACGCGUAGGAAUCUACCUAGUAGUGGGGGACAACAUGUGGAAACGCAUGCUAAUACCGCAUAAGCCCUAAGGGGGAAAGCAGGGGAUCUUCGGACCUUGCGCUAUUGGAUGAGCCUGCGUCGGAUUAGCUAGUUGGUGGGGUAAUGGCCUACCAAGGCAACGAUCCGUAGCUGGUCUGAGAGGAUGAUCAGCCACACUGGGACUGAGACACGGCCCAGACUCCUACGGGAGGCAGCAGUGGGGAAUAUU